UCUAAAAUGGCAGAUAGAUGUGUAGGGUUUAAGCUCCUAUAAGGGAGAUCCUUCUCCUUUUAGAA
rnacentral:tRNA from 1 species